rnacentral:lncRNA from 10 species
GAGCAUUUGCAGAGGCUUGGGAGGGAGUGGACGUGUCCCUGAUGCUAAGGGCAGAGGAGGAGCGGGGCCCUCGGGCAGCUGGAAGGGCAUCCUGAAAAGACGCCUGCCUGCCGCCGUUCUCCUGGCAGCAGGGCGCGCUGGGAAGCACCAGGCAGGAAGUGAAGAAUUUCCGGUUGUCAGCGGAGGGAUGGGGCGUCACCAAGUCUGUGGCAAGCACACCAAGAACCAGCUAAGUCCAAGGCUCACCUGCAUGGCAAAUGGUGAAGGUAAAGUCCAGCUGCCAGCCCAAAGUAGAGCGCUUUUACAGCAAGCUGCUCUCAAAUCAUUUCCAAAAUCAAAGUUGCUGUAGCUGCAGUCAGGGAACUUCAACAGGAUGUGGGCCAGGGGUAAGACAGAAGCAUAUCUUUACCUGGUUCUCCAUCUGGGAGAUGAGCAUCCCGAGGGAGAAGGACAAGACACCUCAAGCCCAGCUCCCACUGAAGGCAUAUGACCCAGAUCCUGAGAACCAGAUGCACCGGCCUGAGCUUUCGUCAGAAGCAAGGACACACAGAACCUUUCUUAGAGGCAUCAU